UACGGGAGGCAGCAGUGGGGAAUAUUGCACAAUGGGCGCAAGCCUGAUGCAGCCAUGCCGCGUGUAUGAAGAAGGCCUUCAGGUUGUAAAGUACUUUCAGUCGUGAGGAAGGUGUUAAGGUUAAUAACCUUAGCAAUUGACGUUAGCGACAGAAGAAGCACCGGCUAACUCCGUGCCAGCAGCCGCGGUAAUACGGAGGGUGCGAGCGUUAAUCGGAAUUACUGGGCGUAAAGGGCACGCAGGCGGUUAAUUAAGUUGGAUGUGAAAUCCCCGGGCUUAACCUGGGAAUGGCAUUCAAGACUGGUUAGCUAGAGUCUUGUAGAGGGGGUAGAAUUCCAUGUGUAGCGGUGAAAUGCGUAGAGAUGUGGAGGAAUACCGGUGGCGAAGGCGGCCCCUGGGACAAAGACUGACGCUCAUGUGCGAAAGCGUGGGGAGCAAACAGGGAUUAGAUACC
rnacentral:rRNA from 1 species